rnacentral:rRNA from 1 species
UACGUAGGGUCCGAGCGUUGUCCGGAAUUACUGGGCGUAAAGAGCUCGUAGGUGGUUUGUCGCGUUGUUCGUGAAAACUCACAGCUCAACUGUGGGCGUGCGGGCGAUACGGGCAGACUAGAGUACUGCAGGGGAGACUGGAACUCCUGGUGUAGCGGUGGAAUGCGCAGAUAUCAGGAGGAACACCGGUGGCGAAGGCGGGUCUCUGGGCAGUAACUGACGCUGAGGAGCGAAAGCGUGGGGAGCGAACAGG